CACACCACCUUCUGAUAUAACAACAUUGCUUAAUUUGUAUAGGACAUGUUCAUGGAUGUCAUUUUGUGCAAGUUAAGCUACAAGAAGGUUAUCCAUUGCCCAUGGUGAAUAUAACUCAACAUCGCUUAAUUUGUAUAAGACAUGUUCAUGGAUGUCAUUUUGUGCAGGUUAAGCUACAAGAAGGUUAUCCAUUGCCCAUGGUGAAUAUCAUGUUCUCAACCUACUGUUAUCCUGAGGCACGAGCGUGGUCAUCUAUUUAUACUAGUAGGAUGCAAGCAUUUUCA